rnacentral:rRNA from 1 species
AUCAUUACCGAGUUUACAACUCCCAAACCCCUGUGAACAUACCAAUUGUUGCCUCGGCGGAUCAGCCCGCUCCCGGUAAAACGGGACGGCCCGCCAGAGGACCCCUAAACUCUGUUUCUAUAUGUAACUUCUGAGUAAAACCAUAAAUAAAUCAAAACUUUCAACAACGGAUCUCUUGGUUCUGGCAUCGAUGAAGAACGCAGCAAAAUGCGAUAAGUAAUGUGAAUUGCAGAAUUCAGUGAAUCAUCGAAUCUUUGAACGCACAUUGCGCCCGCCAGUAUUCUGGCGGGCAUGCCUGUUCGAGCGUCAUUUCAACCCUCAAGCCCCCGGGUUUGGUGUUGGGGAUCGGCGAGCCCUUGCGGCAAGCCGGCCCCGAAAUCUAGUGGCGGUCUCGCUGCAGCUUCCAUUGCGUAGUAGUAAAACCCUCGCAACUGGUACGCGGCGCGGCCAAGCCGUUAACCCCCAACUUCUGAAUGUUGACCUCGGAUCAGGUAGGAAUACCCCGCUGAACUUAAGCAUUAUCAAUAA